CUCUUUAUGAUUAAAAUAAUAAGUUGACUCUGCCCAAUGAAAUUUAAAUGGCUGCAGUAUUUUAACUGUACAAAGGUAGCAUAAUAAAUUGUUUUUUUAUUGAAAACUGGAAUGAAGGAGGUGAUGAAAUAUAUACUUUAUUAAUUUAAAAUUUUGAAUUUUAUUUUGGAGUUAAAAAGCUUUAAUUUUUUUAAGGGACGAGAAGACCCUAUAGAAUUUUAUAUAAAUAUUAUAUAUUAUAUUAAUAUUUAUAUUUAUUUGGGAGGAAUAUUAAAUUUUUAAACUUUAAUUUAUUAAUACAUUUAUAAAUGUAUUAUAUUGAUUUUUUAUAAAAAAUAUUAAAUUAAAUUACCUUAGGGAUAACAGCGUAAUAUUAUUUUAUAGUUCUUAUUGAAAAUAGUGUUU
rnacentral:rRNA from 1 species